UUAAUAAGUGGACGCCUACUGAGACUACUAUGUAGGGUUGUGUCCAGAGCGGUGGCAUGUUGGCCAUCUGCAGAGCAGUCCGCUUGCAUCAUGACUAAUUGCACAGUUUGACUGUAAAUCACGAGAUGAAUCUUUUGAGCCUAGUUAGUCUAUGAUUAGACAAUAUUUGUCAAAUAAAAACGAAAAUGCUACAGUACCGAAAUCCGAAAUUUUUUCGAACUAAACCAGGCCUAAGCAAGGCCCCGUUUGGGGAGGGCUCCCAGCAGAUUCGGCUCCUCACGACGUUACGUUACGUGAAUGAAGAGCAACGCAUAAUAAAUAUAAUAAAGCAGCUGGGAC
rnacentral:lncRNA from 1 species